AUUGAACGCUGGCGGCAUGCCUUACACAUGCAAGUCGAACGGCAGCAUAGGAGCUUGCUCCUGAUGGCGAAUGGCGAACGGGUGAGUAAUAUAUCGGAACGUGCCCUAGCGUGGGGGAUAACUAGUCGAAAGACUAGCUAAUACCGCAUCCGAUCUACGGAUGAAAGUGGGGGAUCGCAAGACCUCAUGCUCCUGGAGCGGCCGAUAUCUGAUUAGCUAGUUGGUGGGGUAAAAGCUCACCAAGGCGACGAUCAGUAGCUGGUCUGAGAGGACGACCAGCCACACUGGGACUGAGACACGGCCCAGACUCCUACGGGAGGCAGCAGUGGGGAAUUUUGGACAAUGGGGGCAACCCUGAUCCAGCAAUGCCGCGUGAGUGAAGAAGGCCUUCGGGUUGUAAAGCUCUUUUGUCAGGGAAGAAACGGUUCUGGAUAAUACCUGGGACUAAUGACGGUACCUGAAGAAUAAGCACCGGCUAACUACGUGCCAGCCGCCGCGGUAA
rnacentral:rRNA from 1 species